CCUACGGGAGGCAGCAGUGGGGAAUAUUGCACAAUGGAGGAAACCCUGAUGCAGCGACGCCGCGUGGGUGAAGGAGUAUUUCGGUGUGGAAAGCCCUAUCAACAGGGAAAAACAAUGACGGUACCUGACGAAGAAGCACCUACUAAAUACGUGCCAGCAGCCGCGGUAAUACGUAUGGUGCGAGCGUUAUCCGGAUUUACUGGGGGUAAAGGGAGUGCAGGCGGCGCGUUAAGCCUGGGGUGAAAGCCCGCGGCCCAACCGUGGGACUGCAUUGGGAACUGGCGCGCUGGAGUGCCGGAGGGGUAGGCGGAAUUCCUAGUGUAGCGGUGAAAUGCGUAGAUAUUAGGAGGAACACCAGUGGCGAAGGCGGCCUACUGGACGGUGACUGACGCUGAGGCUCGAAAGCGUGGGGAGCAAACAGGAUUAGAUACCCGAGUAGUC
rnacentral:rRNA from 1 species